AACGAACGUUAGCGGCGCGCCUAACACAUGCAAGUCGCACGAGAAAGGGCUUCGGCCCCAGUAAAGUGGCGCACGGGUGAGUAACACGUGGGUAACCAACCCAAAAGCGGGGGACAACGUUCCGAAAGGAGCGCUAAUACCGCGUAAGACCACGACCACGUAAGUGGUUGAGGUAAAAGCAGGCCCCUUCUUGAAAGCUUGCGCUCUUGGACGGGCCCGCGUCCCAUCAGCUAGUUGGUAGGGUAAUGGCCUACCAAGGCUUAGACGGGUAACUGGUCUGAGAGGAUGAUCAGUCACACUGGAACUGAGACACGGUCCAGACUCCUACGGGAGGCAGCAGUGGGGAAUCUUGCGCAAUGGGCGAAAGCCUGACGCAGCGACGCCGCGUGAGUGAUGAAGGCCUUCGGGUUGUAAAGCUCUGUGGGGAGGAAAGAAUAAGUGUGUUCUAAUCAGCACAUGAUGACGGUACCUCCUUAGCAAGCACCGGCUAACUCUGUGCCAGCCGCCGCAGUAA
rnacentral:rRNA from 1 species